rnacentral:rRNA from 1 species
GACGAACGCUGGCGGCGUGCUUAACACAUGCAAGUCGAACGGAAAGGCCCAGCUUGCUGGGUGCUCGAGUGGCGAACGGGUGAGUAACACGUGGGUGAUCUGCCCCUAACUUCGGGAUAAGCUUGGGAAACUGGGUCUAAUACCGGAUAGGACAAUCGUUUAGUGUCGGUUGUGGAAAGUUUUUUCGGUUAGGGAUGAGCCCGCGGCCUAUCAGCUUGUUGGUGGGGUAAUGGCCUACCAAGGCGUCGACGGGUAGCCGGCCUGAGAGGGUGGACGGCCACAUUGGGACUGAGAUACGGCCCAGACUCCUACGGGAGGCAGCGGUGGGGAAUAUUGCACAAUGGGCGCAAGCCGGAUGCAGCGACGCCGCGUGGGGGAUGACGGCCUUCGGGUUGUAAACCUCUUUCGACAGGGACGAAGCUUUGGUGACGGUACCUGAAGAAGAAGCACCGGCUAACUACGUG